UACAGGGGGUGCAAACGUUGCUCGGAAUUAUUGGGCGUAAAGCGCGCGUAGGCGGCUACCUAAGUCGGAUGUGAAAGCCCCUGGCUUAACUGGGGAAGUGCACCCGAAACUGGGUAGCUAGAGUGCAAAAGAGGGUCGCGGAAUUCCCGGUGUAGAGGUGAAAUUCGUAGAUAUCGGGAGGAACACCCGUGGCGAAGGCGGCUCUCUGGGACGGUACUGACGCUGAGACGCGAAAGCGUGGGGAGCGAACAGG
rnacentral:rRNA from 1 species